rnacentral:rRNA from 1 species
CCUACGGGAGGCAGCAGUGGGGAAUAUUGCACAAUGGGGGAAACCCUGAUGCAGCGACGCCGCGUGAGUGAAGAAGUAAUUCGUUAUGUAAAGCUCUAUCAGCAGGGAAGAAAAUGACGGUACCUGAGUAAGAAGCCCCGGCUAACUACGUGCCAGCAGCCGCGGUAAUACGUCGGGGGCAAGCGUUAUCCGGAUUUACUGGGUGUAAAGGGAGCGUAGACGGCAGUGCAAGUCUGGAGUGAUAGGCUGGGGCUCAACCCCCGGACUGCUCUGGAAACUGUACGGCUGGAGUGCAGGAGAGGUAAGUGGAAUUCCUAGUGUAGCGGUGAAAUGCGUAGAUAUUAGGAGGAACACCAGUGGCGAAGGCGGCUUACUGGACUGUAACUGACGUUGAGGCUCGAAAGCGUGGGGAGCAAACAGGAUUAGAUACCCGUGUAGUC